rnacentral:rRNA from 1 species
AACGAACGCUGGCGGCAUGCCUAACACAUGCAAGUCGAACGAGACCUUCGGGUCUAGUGGCGCACGGGUGCGUAACGCGUGGGAAUCUGCCCUUGGGUUCGGAAUAACAGUUAGAAAUGACUGCUAAUACCGGAUAAUGUCUUCGGACCAAAGAUUUAUCGCCCAGGGAUGAGCCCGCGUAGGAUUAGCUAGUUGGUGAGGUAAAGGCUCACCAAGGCGACGAUCCUUAGCUGGUCUGAGAGGAUGAUCAGCCACACUGGGACUGAGACACGGCCCAGACUCCUACGGGAGGCAGCAGUGGGGAAUAUUGGACAAUGGGCACAAGCCUGAUCCAGCAAUGCCGCGUGAGUGAUGAAGGCCUUAGGGUUGUAAAGCUCUUUCACCGGGGAAGGAUAAAUGACGGUACCCGGAGAAGAAGCCCCGGCUAACUCCGUGCCAGCAGCCGCGGUAAU